rnacentral:lncRNA from 1 species
ACUGGGAUUAGCGAAGAUAGGAGUCUUGGCUUAAAUUUGUCUAUGUGUGGGAUUUACCUUUUUUCUAGUUUGGUGCCUGAGAGAAACCCCCACACCUUAGGUAUUCCCUUAGUUGGGUUUCGCUAAUGAACUAAACUAAAAGACUGCAAUUAGCGUUUAUGGAAGAAGAAACCAAGGAGCAAGGCGACCACAGUGGAAAAUUUUUAAUCUGAUUUGCUAUGUCUUCAUUCCAUUGGUGGAGAAUCUGGUUCCUAUCCCACUCGUUGGUUUAUCUAUUUAUGAUUGAGCUAACUGACUGAAACCAUUCCACUGCGGCCAAUUCUUUAAAAAGGUAAGGAGUUCCAUCCUGCCACAAAGGAAAAAAGUACUCAAAAAAGACCAUUUCUGUCCAUCUUCUCAUGGAGUUGUACGUGGACAUUACCACUCAUACAGCUCCUAGCCAGCAAGCAGUUAGCUUUCCUCUACAAGACCCUAGACCAGACCUAGCCCUCUUUGAAGGAAAAGAAUUUGACCUUGAGGGGGGAGGGGUGUGUUCUAUAGGUCCAAUCCAUGAUUUAUGUGAUGUCCUCCUUAACAGAUU